AAAUUACUCCCUCCAUCCCAAAAUUCUUGUCUUAGAUUUGUCUAGAUACGGAUGUAUCAAGUCACAUUUUAGUAUUAGAUACAUCCGUAUCUAGACAAAUCUAAGACAAGAAAUUUGGGACAGAGGGAGUAGNUG
rnacentral:pre_miRNA from 1 species